AGUAGGUAGUUUUAUUGCCACACAAAAACUUGAAAUUACACUUAAGUAAAACGUGUCUACUUGGGAGCAGCUGCAGGUUGAACGCGUGCUUUCAAUUUGGCAAGCAACUCAUCUCUCAAAGGUAGCUGUCAAGAAGUAAACUGUGGAGCAGGGGAAGUAUACAGCAAGGGCAAAUUCAUUAUGUCCUAUUUUGUAUAUCUAGAUCAAGGUAUGAGCAAUUGGGCUGAGAGUCGGACGAUGUUGAUUGUAAUCAAACAGUGAAGCACAAGGCCUCUACAAAAUAAUAAUUGAAGUUGACCCAAAGUUGCUUGCCUCCGACAUUGGAGGGGAUAUGACCACACCAUGGAGGAUACUAUAACAAAUAGAGGAGACAAUUUGACAACAUAGGGCUAACUAUAAAUAACAGAUUAUCUUUACAAGCUGUGAAGGUUUGGCAAGAAAGGUUAGAGGUCUUCUUCAACUGAACAGAUGGGAGCUUUCUUCCUUUAGGAUCAGACAACUCAAGUCGGCUUAAAUUCAGUUUGAACCUUCGUGAGGAUCAGAUCUAAAGUUUCUCAUUUUUCUUUUCCUUUUGCAAAUACUUUAUAAUACAUGAAUAUCAGGAGUGGUUUGCUUCUCUCUCAAAA